rnacentral:rRNA from 1 species
GGCUCAGGACGAACGCUGGCGGCGUGCCUAAUACAUGCAAGUCGAACGGUCUUUCUAUGGAAGCUUGCUUCCACUGAGAAGAUAGUGGCGAACGGGUGAGUAACACGUGGGUAACCUGCCCAUAAGAGGGGGAUAACAUCCGGAAACGGGUGCUAAUACCGCAUAGUUUUCUUGAUUGCAUGAUUGAGAAGGAAAGACGGCCUUUGUGCUGUCGCUUAUGGAUGGACCCGCGGCGUAUUAGUUAGUUGGUGAGGUAACGGCUCACCAAGACGAUGAUACGUAGCCGACCUGAGAGGGUGAUCGGCCACAUUGGGACUGAGACACGGCCCAAACUCCUACGGGAGGCAGCAGUAGGGAAUCUUCCGCAAUGGACGAAAGUCUGACGGAGCAACGCCGCGUGAGUGAAAGAAGGUUUUCGGAUCGUAAAACUCUGUUGUCAGAGAAGAACAAGUCGGAGAGUAACUGCUCCAGCCUUGACGGUAUCUGACCAGAAAGCCACGGCUAACUACGUGCCAGCCGCCGC